GUAGGUGGCAAGCGUUGUCCGGAAUUAGUUGGGACGUAAAGCGCGCGCAGGUCGGUUACUUUAAGUCUGAUGUGAAAGCCCACGGGCUCAACCGUGGAGGGUCAUUGGAAACUGGAGAACUUGAGUACAGAAGAGGAAAGCGGAAUUCCACGUGUAGCGGUGAAAUGCGUAGAGAUGUGGAGGAACACCAGUGGCGAAGGCGGCUUUCUGGUCUGUAACUGACGCUGAGGCGCGAAAGCGUGGGGAGCAAACAGGAUUAGAUACCCUGGUAGUCCACGCCGUAAACGAUGAGUGCUAAGUGUUAGGGGGUUUCCGCCCCUUAGUGCUGCAGCUAACGCAUUAAGCACUCCGCCUGGGGAGUACGGCCGCAAAGGCUG
rnacentral:rRNA from 1 species